AUCUGUGUAGGGGGUUUAGUGGUUAGCACUUUUGCCUCACACGUCUGGGGUUGGGGGUUCAAAUCCCAUCUCCGAUC